CCACACUGCCCCGUACUGUCCCAUACUGUCCCAUACUGGUGUGUACUGGUCCCAUACUGGUCCAUACUGGUCUGUACUGGUCUCUACUGUCCCAUACUGGUCU
rnacentral:lncRNA from 1 species